rnacentral:misc_RNA from 1 species
AGAGAGAGAAGAGGAGCGAGAGAGAGAGAGAGAGGUAAUGAAAGAAAGAGAGAGAGAGAAGUAGAAUUAGAAGUGGAAAUAAUUUGUCGUAAGGCGGAGAGGAAGGACCACGUCGGGGGGAAUUGAGAUUUUAUUAUUGUUAUUAUUAUCAUUAUUGUUUCCUCAUCGAUAGGUAAAGACUAAGAAUUAAUCGAAAACAGAACAAGAUGGAAAAGUUCGAUAAACCCCCAAAGCCAGAACAAGUCCUCAUCAUCCAACCCAGUAAUGAGCUCGAAUUCGUGGUAGGGCCCUUCAACCGUCCUGUAACCAGGGUGAUGUCCUUAACGAAUCCAACGGAUAGUAGAGUCUGUUUCAAAAUUAAAACAACUGCUCCUAAAAAAUAUUGCGUGAAGCCGAACUCCGGUAUCGUAGAUCCUAAAAAAUGUGUUAGUAUUUCUGUUGGUCUACAGCCAUUUGAUUAUGAUCCAUCGGAAAGAAAUAAACAUAAGUUUAUGGUUCAAUCCAUGUUUGCUCCUGAUGGAUAUUUCAACAUGGAAGAUUUGUGGAAGGAGGCUAAUGGAAAUAACUUAAUGGAUUCUAAAUUAAGAUGCUUAUUUACAUGCCCAACGGAACCGGACUCAGUUACUUCAUCAGAAAAGUUACCGGAAGCACUUCCCACAGAAAAAGUGGUCUCAUCUUCUUCUGUCAGCUCUGCAAAAUCUAAUGAUAAUGAAUUAAAGAGAUCAGUCGAUGAGAUCAAAAAAUUACAAGAAGAAAUAAGCUCUAUUAGACAAGAAAAUAUUUGCGUUAAGGAGGAGAUGAUGCGACAGAAACGUCUGGCUUCUAAUAAUGAAGUUGAAUCAUCCACUCCGUCAUCAUUUGUUGUUAGGUCUGAAAGUCCUGAGCAAAAUUCCUUGACAACAACUUAUAUCUAUUUAGCGCUUAUUAUGUUUCUUAUUGGAUUCAUCAUUGGAAAAUGGAUUAUUUGAAGGGAAGCAAAAUCAUAUACAAUCCCACUUCCUUUUAUCAAGAAGUAGCUGGUUACAACAACAACAAUAAAAAAGACUUUAUCAAGAUAAUACUAGGAAAAAAAAUAAGAUUUUGAGAUAUGCAACACUUAUUAUUCUUUAUUUGUUUUUUAAUAUAUUCACAAUUUUAUUCAAACCUACUAUGUUCCAACAACCCUUCGAGAUCACUCAUAUCUUGAUUUGCAUCUUUUUUUUUAUUUAUAAGUAUUUGAAAUAGCAGGAGAAAACAUUAUGAAUCCAUUCCGUUAUAACAUUUUAAGGGCACACGAUCUCAUGUAUAUGCGAUAUGGUUGCUAUUUUUUUUUUUUAAAUUAUAAGUUUACUAAAUUCUUAAUAAUUGAUGUAUACCAACAUAAAUUACACUGUUUUUUUUUCAGUUUCAUAAAUCUAGAUUGCCUUUUAAAUUAAAUAUAAUAAUUGAAAUGGAUUUUUUUAUCUAGUAAAUCAUACUUGGGGUUAAUUAAAGCUCAACUAAUUUAGUAUCCUACAAUCUUAUUUUACUUGUGGGUGUGUUUAAAGCGAAUAUUUGUUCUCCUUCCCACCACCUCUACAACAUUUGGAUUAACAUCAGACAAUUAUAAUUAAUUUAACUUCGUGCUAUAAUUAUUUAAAAAUUUGAUUUUAAAAUUGUUACUUAAUUUUUGAAAUAUAUAAACAUAAUAAUA